rnacentral:rRNA from 1 species
UUCAGCAGUGAGGAAGGGUGUGUAUUUAUAGAUGCACAUUUUGACGUUAGCUGCAGAAGAAGCACCGGCUAACUCCGUGCCAGCAGCCGCGGUAAUACGGAGGGUGCGAGCGUUAAUCGGAAUUACUGGGCGUAAAGCGCAUGCAGGUGGUUUGUUAAGUCAGAUGUGAAAGCCCGGGGCUCAACCUCGGAACUGCAUUUGAAACUGGCAGGCUAGAGUACUGUAGAGGGGGGUAGAAUUUCAGGUGUAGCGGUGAAAUGCGUAGAGAUCUGAAGGAAUACCGGUGGCGAAGGCGGCCCCCUGGACAGAUACUGACACUCAGAUGCGAAAGCGUGGGGAGCAAACAGGAUUAGAUACCCUGGUAGUCCACGCCGUAAACGAUGUCUACUUGGAGGUUGUGGCCUUGAGCCGUGGCUUUCGGAGCUAACGCGUUAAGUAGACCGCCUGGGGAGUACGGUCGCAAGAUUAAAACUCAAAUGAAUUGACGGGGGCCCGCACAAGCGGUGGAGCAUGUGGUUUAAUUCGAUGCAACGCGAAGAACCUUACCUACUCUUGACAUCCAUAGAACUUAGCAGAGAUGCUUUGGUGCCUUCGGGAACUAUGAGACAGGUGCUGCAUGGCUGUCGUCAGCUCGUGUUGUGAAAUGUUGGGUUAAGUCCCGCAACGAGCGCAACCCUUAUCCUUGUUUGCCAGCACUUCGGGUGGGAACUCCAGGGAGACUGCCGGUGAUAAACCGGAGGAAGGUGGGGACGACGUCAAGUCAUCAUGGCCCUUACGAGUAGGGCUACACACGUGCUACAAUGGCGCAUACAGAGGGCGGCCAACUUGCGAGAGUGAGCGAAUCCCAAAAAGUGCGUCGUAGUCCGGAUUGGAGUCUGCAACUCGACUCCAUGAAGUCGGAAUCGCUUGUAAUCGUGGAUCAGAAUGCCACGGUGAAUACGUUCCCGGGCCUUGUACACACCGCCCGUCACACCAUGGGAGUGGGCUGCAAAAGAAGCAGGUAGUUUA